GUAUUUUAUUUCAAUACAUUACAGAAAAAAUAAAAGACCGGCCUCCAUCCAAUGCUAUUAUUAAGAAAAUAUAAAGGCUCAAACAGGUAAACAAUCAGACUUUAACUAAAUGGAUGUGAAAGGAUCAAAAGACCACCCAAAAAUACCGAAAUGUGCAUGUACGACCGAUCGUAAAGGCAUGCAAAGCAAUGUCAUCAACAGUAUGUGAGCUGAUAUCUUGGACCUACAGUUAUAUCUCUGCGACAGUUGGUGGCCGCGAUAAAUUGGUAUCAAAUACCAGCAGUGCUACAAUAAAACACGACAAGCUUGUUAGCCAAUAUAACCAAGCAUAAAAGUCCGACUAUCAACGAUAUAUUUCUUCGAAGCAUUUCAUAAUAAUUUAUAUGUGUUAAGAUUCAAUGUACUUAUCUUAAACGGGCUGAGUUGCCUAAUUUGUAUGACUGGACAAAUAAUAUCGCAGUAUGAACAUUCAACCUGCACGGGAAUCCAAUCAAUUCCACCAAUCAAAAAUAUAUUCAAUAUAAAUAUGCCAAGUGGAGAACAAUAAAACUAAUUUUCGCUUUAUUAUUUGGAUGAGUUGAGUAGCUCGAGUUUUCUACAUUCCUAAGGGUCUGUGGUACACAAAAGUACAAAAGAACUGAAGGAAUAGAUCGCUAGGAUUUUGUAUAAUAUAAAAACAUUAGCAACAAAGGUGUACAAGCAACAAACACGCAAUUUCGCAUGUUGCACGCCCUAUGCUCUGUGUUAUAUUGUCAUGGCCUUUAACAACACACCUUCAAAGAUAAACAUCAUUCCAUACAUCACGUAUGUCGUAUGAAUAUGGUGUGUAAUUUUGAUAGCAAUAAAUAAAAGAAACGUAAUUGGGGACU